rnacentral:rRNA from 1 species
UACGUAGGGGGCUAGCGUUGUCCGGAAUCAUUGGGCGUAAAGAGCGCGUAGGCGGCUAGAUAAGUCCGGUGUGAAAGUCACAGGCUCAACCUGUGAAUGCCGCUGGAAACUGUCUGGCUAGAGUCCGGAAGGGGCGAGUGGAAUUCCUGGUGUAGCGGUGAAAUGCGCAAAUAUCAGGAGGAACACCAAUGGCGAAGGCAGCUCGCUGGGACGGUACUGACGCUGAGGCGCGAAAGCGUGGGUAGCAAACAGG